CCUACGGGUGGCAGCAGUGAGGAAUAUUGGUCAAUGGACGAGAGUCUGAACCAGCCAAGUAGCGUGAAGGAUGACUGCCCUAUGGGUUGUAAACUUCUUUUAUAUGGGAAUAAAAUGUUCCACGUGUGGGAUUUUGUAUGUACCAUAUGAAUAAGGAUCGGCUAACUCCGUGCCAGCAGCCGCGGUAAUACGGAGCAUCCGAGCGUUAUCCGGAUUGAUUGGGUUGAAGGGGUGCGCAGGGGGGCUGUUAAGUCAGCGGUAAAAGCGCGGGGCUCACACCCGGCCCGCCGUUGAAACUGGCAGUCUCGAGUCGGAGAGAAGUAUGCGGAAUGAGCGGUGUAGCGGUGAAAUGCAUAGAUAUCGCGCAGAACUCCGAUAGCGAAGGCAGGAUGGCGGCUCCACACUGACGCUGAGGCACGAAAGCGUGGGUAUCGAACAGGAUUAGAUACCCCUGUAGUC
rnacentral:rRNA from 1 species